GACGAACGCUGGCGGCGUGCUUAACACAUGCAAGUCGAACGAAGUGGCGAACGGGGGAGUAAUACGGGGUUAACCUGCCGCCCUUUUUGGGAUAAGCCUUGGAAACGGGGUCUACUACCGCAUCAAGGGGGAGUGGCUUGCGGCCUAUCUGCGUGUGGGUGGGGUGAUGGCCUACGAAGGCGGUGACGUGUAGCCGGCCUGAGAGGGUGACCGGCCACAGUGGGACUGAGGUACGGCCCAGACUCCUACGGGAGGCAGCAGUGGGGGAUGUUGCGCAAUGGGCGAAAGCCUGAUGCAGCGACGCCGCGUGGGGGAUGGAGGCUUUCGGGUUGUAGACCUCUUACGCUAACGAACGGGUAGGUGGAGAAGAAGCGCCGGCUAACUACGUGCCAGCAGCCGCGGUAAUUC
rnacentral:rRNA from 1 species